rnacentral:rRNA from 1 species
GACGAACGCUGGCGGCGUGCUUAACACAUGCAAGUCGAACGGUGACGAAGAGCUUACUCUUCUGAUCAGUGGCGAACGGGUGAGUAACACGUGAGCAACCUACCCUUGACACUGGGAUAACAGUUGGAAACAGCUGCUAAUACCGGAUAUGAACCUCACAGGCAUCUGAGAGGUUGGAAAGCUCCGACGGUCAAGGAUGGGCUCGCGGCCUAUCAGCUUGUUGGUGAGGUAACGGCUCACCAAGGCGACGACGGGUAGCCGGCCUGAGAGGGCGACCGGCCACACGGGGACUGAGAUACGGCCCAGACUCCUACGGGAGGCAGCAGUGGGGAAUAUUGCGCAAUGGGCGAAAGCCUGACGCAGCAACGCCGCGUGCGGGAUGACGGCCUUCGGGUUAUAAACCGCUUUCAGCAGGGACGAAACUGACGGUACCUGCAGAAGAAGCACCGGCUAACUACGUGCCAGCCGCCGCCGUAAAAC